rnacentral:rRNA from 1 species
UACGAAGGGAGCUAGCGUUGUUCGGAAUCACUGGGCGUAAAGCGCACGUAGGCGGAUGUGUCAGUCAGGGGUGAAAUCCCGGAGCUCAACUUCGGAACUGCCCUUGAUACAGCACGUCUUGAGUCCGGAAGAGGUGGGUGGAAUUCCUAGUGUAGAGGUGAAAUUCGUAGAUAUUAGGAAGAACACCGGUGGCGAAGGCGGCCCACUGGUCCGGUACUGACGCUGAGACGCGAAAGCGUGGGGAGCGAACAGG